rnacentral:rRNA from 1 species
GUAAGGAAUAUUGGGCAAUGGAGGCAACUCUGACCCAGCCAUGCCGCGUGAAGGAUUGACGGCCCUCUGGGUUGUAAACUUCUUUUGUACGGGAAUAACCCUCCGAACGUGUUCGGAGCUGAAGGUACCGUAAGAAUAAGGAUCGGCUAACUCCGUGCCAGCAGCCGCGGUAAUACGGAGGAUCCAAGCGUUAUCCGGAUUUACUGGGUUUAAAGGGUGCGUAGGCGGAUUGAUAAGUCAGUGGUGAAAUCCUGCAGCUUAACUGCAGAACUGCCAUUGAUACUGCCAGUCUGGAGUAUGGUUGAGGUAGCUGGAAUGUGUCAUGUAGCGGUGAAAUGCUUAGAGAUGACACAGAACACCGACGGCGAAGGCAGGUUACCAACCCAUUACUGACGCUGAGGCACGAAAGCGUGGGGAUCAAACAGGAUUAGAAACCCGUGUAGUCC